rnacentral:rRNA from 1 species
CAAGUCGCACGAGAAAGUGGAGCAUCCAUGAGUAAAGUGGCGUACGGGUGAGUAACACGUGGAUCAUCUACCCUUUAGUGGGGAAUAACCCUGGGAAACCGGGGCUAAUACUGCAUAAUCCUGAGAAGGGAAAGCAGCAAUGCGCUGAAGGAGGAGUCCGCGGCCGAUUAGCUAGUUGGUAGGGUAACGGCCUACCAAGGCAAUGAUCGGUAGCCGGCCUGAGAGGGCACACGGCCACACUGGCACUGAAACACGGGCCAGACUCCUACGGGAGGCAGCAGUGGGGAAUCUUGCACAAUGGAGGAAACUCUGAUGCAGCGACGCCGCGUGAGCGAUGAAGCCCUUCGGGGUGUAAAGCUCUUUCGACGGGAACGAUAAUGACGGUACCCGGAGAAGAAGCUGCGGCUAACUACGUGCCAGCAGCCGCGGUAAUACGUAGGCAGCAAGCGUUGUUCGGAAUUACUGGGCGUAAAGAGUGUGUAGGCGGUUCCCUAAGUUCGGUGUGAAAUCUCCCGGCUCAACUGGGAGGGUGCGCCGGAAACUGGGGGGCUUGAGUAUGGGAGAGGAAGGCGGAAUUCCUGGUGUAGCGGUGAAAUGCGUAGAUAUCAGGAGGAACACCUGCGGUGUAGACAGCUUUCUGGACCAUCACUGACGCUGAGACACGAAAGCGUGGGUAGCAAACAGGAUUAGAUACCCUGGUAGUCCACGCCCUAAACGAUGCAUACUUGGUGUGAGCCGU